UACAGAGGUCCCAAGCGUUGUUCGGAUUCAUUGGGCGUAAAGGGUGCGUAGGCGGCGCGGUAAGUCGGGUGUGAAAUCUCGGAGCUUAACUCCGAAACUGCAUUCGAUACUGGCGUGCUUGAGGACUGGAGAGGGGACUGGAAUUUACGGUGUAGCGGUGAAAUGCGUAGAUAUCGUAAGGAAGACCAGUGGCGAAGGCGGGUCUCUGGACAGUUCCUGACGCUGAGGCACGAAGGUCAGGGGAGCAAACGGG
rnacentral:rRNA from 1 species